rnacentral:lncRNA from 1 species
UGCCCGUAACAUCAUUUUGGAAAAAUAUCUCCAUACUCCAAAUUUUUAAGUUUUAUAUCUCAAUAGACUCAAGGUUUUAAAAUAUACCUUGAUUAUAGAAAUUCUAAGUCUUCUAUAUUCUAACCCCCUAAGCUAAUUUUAUCUCAUUUUAACCUAUUUUUUUACUCUAAAUAACUAUAAUAAAAACAUAUUCUUUCUAAACACUCAUUUCUCUCUCUUCAGAUGAUUUUC